rnacentral:lncRNA from 1 species
GCAGAUCUGUGAUUGACAUCUCAACCUAGCCACACAGGUUCCUUGCUUUGGUUUGAAAUGUGGUUGCCAAGACGUUUCAGCCAAUCACCGCCGAGGAGGGGCGGAGCGAAGCUCGCAUCAGGUUAGUGCUAUACUGAAAAGACUAUAGAAAGGGGAGAUCCAAUCCGGUUUCAGCUAGUUUGUGUUCCGAUAGAACAUUAAUGCUAGUUGCUUCAGUGUUUCCUAGACCCGGUUCUUACUCUUUACUUAUCAGCGCGUAAGCUAUUUUAAUUUAUUUCCUUUUUGUUGUGAAAGCAUACAAGCUUUAAGCAGCCAUGCCUAAAAGGAGCAAAGCUAACAAUGACACUGAAGCAGCUGGGCCCAAGAGACGGUCUGAGAGACUUCAAGGUAAACCCCAAACGCCAAAGUCUGAGCCCAAGCCAAAAGUGAAGAAGGCACCUGCAAAGGGCAAGAAGGCUAAGGAGGUAGAAAAAGCCAAACCAGAGGAGAAAGAGGACGCAAAGCCAGAGACUGAGUCUGAGGAGGAAACUCCUGCGGAGAACGGAGAGACCAAAGAUGAGGGGGACAAUGGAGAAGCAGGAGGCGAGGAGGAAAAGGCUGACUAGAAAGAGGGAGCUGCUAAAUAACAUGAAAACAUUUCACAGGAGCUCCCAUACCUCUUUUCUUGUACAAUACAAAGGAAUAUUUUUAUUGACUAUUUUCUAAAAAGCAGGUUUUUUAGUAGUUCAAUAUUAGAAGCUCAUUUUAUAGACCACGAUCAAGAGAAAAGCCUUAGAAGAGGGAUUCCAUUUUUUCCCCCCACUCCAGUUUUUCCUGAAGAAGAAUUGCAGUCAUGAAACAACUAAUGACUUCCUCAUUAUUAUUAUUAUUAUUUGAUUUUUAUUUUUUUCUGACUCGGUUUUGUUUUUAAAAAGGGAGGGGAGUGGAACAGGUUGCGGCAGAUAAUGUAAUGUAAUGUGAUCAUGCCAUUUUUAAAGAUAAAAAAGAAAUUUCUCAUGUUGGGAGAGUUUGCCUGAGACACUAACAUUCCAUAGGCAAUAUGAGGGACACCUGUAUUGUAUGGGAAGGGGGUUCUGUAAGAAAAUGCUUUUGUUUUAUUGUUUCUGGGGGGUUGGGGUUGAUUGUAAGCUGUAGUCUAUGAAUUGAAACCUCUUUAUUCAAACUGUUCUCUGAAUCAACAGCUUUGAUUAAUGAUCCUGCUCACUAGUACUGGAACACUCAUCGGAUGUGUGGUUUACAUUGACUUUUGUCUUUGUGCGGUGAUAGCAUUGCAAUAACAUUGUUGUAUAGCUGCUGUGAAAAGGUUUUCAUAAUUUCUAUAUGCAGUAUGUGAUGGUACUUUUAAGAGGAUGAAAAAUGGAAUUGUGUGUGUUAGCAAAGCUAAUAACAGCUGUGUUAGUGUUAAACAUGCAGGUCGUAGCUGACGUUAUACGAAAAGUUCAUUCAUGUGAACAUGCCAGCAGUAGCUAUAUCACUCAAGGUUUUAGGUUAAAAGUACACAUGUACAGUU